AAGUUAUAAUGUGGACAUUUCCUCAACAAAUCUUUAAAUCUUUCCCACACCUCAAAUAAUCAUUUAGUAUCCAAUUGUGCAUACACUGUUAUCUCUUGACACAACUU